rnacentral:lncRNA from 1 species
CAGCUUCAUGCCAUCUUUGUGUGCCUCUCCUUCCUCAUCAUCUAUGAUCAAAGGACCUUGCAAUCGCUGGAGAGGUCAACAGAAAACAGCUUACAGUGGUGGACCACAGUGUUUACACAAGGCCAGGCAGAAGAGGAAGCGAACAUGUCACAGAGGCCAGUACCUUCCUCAGGUGGACGUCACCUGUAUGUCAGCCCGGACGCAACCCCUUCUGACCUAUCACAAGCCUAGACUUUUCGUCAUGGACCCACUGUCUCACAGAGAACAGGUUCUGGAGUCUUCCCAUUCUCUUUGUGAUCCUGCAUCUGUGUGCACAGAUCCUUCAUGUCUCCACAGAAAAGACCAAACAGACGGCAAAAUGCAUCCCGUUCUAUCACUUUCCUCAGAAACUCCAUUGUCCUUCCAUCUGCAAAAUUCUCUGUUUGAGGAAAGUUUGCUUCAGCGAUCUCUCCUCCUGAAAACUGAGCGCACCAGUCCCCAUCACUGUCUCAGCUCCAGAGGCAGAGUUUCCCGGUCUUUAUUCCAUUGCAGUCAUCAGCCAAAAAAUGGGAGGCAUUUGAAGAGGCACAGAAGGGAGAGCACUCAUAUACGAUGGGCACGUACCCGAGACCACCAGAGUCCAGAUUACAGGGAGGGCAAGAGGAGGCGGCGCUGCUCUGAGAGGCCAAUGGGUACUUCAUGUGUUUAA